AGAGUUUGAUCCUGGCUCAGGAUGAACGCUGGCGGCGUGCUUAACACAUGCAAGUCGAACGAACCUUCGGGUUAGUGGCGGACGGGUGAGUAACGCGUGGGAACCUGCCCUCAGGAGGGGGAUAACGGCUGGAAACGGCCGCUAAUACCCCAUAUGCCGAGAGGUGAAAUGAAAUUCGCCUGAGGAUGGGCCCGCGUCUGAUUAGCUAGUUGGUGGGGUAAAGGCCUACCAAGGCGACGAUCAGUAGCUGGUCUGAGAGGAUGAUCAGCCACACUGGGACUGAGACACGGCCCAGACUCCUACGGGAGGCAGCAGUGGGGAAUUUUCCGCAAUGGGCGAAAGCCUGACGGAGCAACGCCGCGUGAGGGAUGAAGGCCUCUGGGCUGUAAACCUCUUUUCUCAAGGAAGAAGACAUGACGGUACUUGAGGAAUAAGCCACGGCUAAUUCCGUGCCAGCAGCCGCGGUAAUACGGGAGUGGCAAGCGUUAUCCGGAAUUAUUGGGCGUAAAGCGUCCGCAGGUGGCCCUGUAAGUCUGUCGUUAAAGCGUGGAGCUUAACUCCAUUUAAGCGAUGGAAACUACAGGGCUAGAGUGUGGUAGGGGCAGAGGGAAUUCCCGGUGUAGCGGUGAAAUGCGUAGAUAUCGGGAAGAACACCAGUGGCGAAGGCGCUCUGCUGGGCCAUCACUGACACUCAUGGACGAAAGCCAGGGGAGCGAAAGGGAUUAGAUACCCCUGUAGUCCUGGCCGUAAACGAUGAACACUAGGUGUCGGGGGAAUCGACCCCCUCGGUGUCGUAGCCAACGCGUUAAGUGUUCCGCCUGGGGAGUACGCACGCAAGUGUGAAACUCAAAGGAAUUGACGGGGGCCCGCACAAGCGGUGGAGUAUGUGGUUUAAUUCGAUGCAACGCGAAGAACCUUACCAGGGUUUGACAUCCUGCGAAUCCCUUGGAAACGAGGGAGUGCCUUCGGGAGCGCAGAGACAGGUGGUGCAUGGCUGUCGUCAGCUCGUGUCGUGAGAUGUUGGGUUAAGUCCCGCAACGAGCGCAACCCACGUCGUUAGUUGCCAGCAUUCAGUUGGGCACUCUAGCGAGACCGCCGGUGAUAAACCGGAGGAAGGUGUGGAUGACGUCAAGUCAUCAUGCCCCUUACAUCCUGGGCUACACACGUACUACAAUGCUACGGACAAAGGGCAGCAAGCUCGCGAGAGUUAGCAAAUCCCAUAAACCGUGGCUCAGUUCAGAUCGUAGGCUGCAACUCGCCUACGUGAAGGAGGAAUCGCUAGUAAUCGCAGGUCAGCAUACUGCGGUGAAUACGUUCCCGGGCCUUGUACACACCGCCCGUCACACCAUGGAAGUUGGCCACGCCCGAAGUCGUUACUCCAACCCUUGUGGAGGAGGACGCCGAAGGUGGGGCUGAUGACUGGGGUGAAGUCGUAACAAGGUAGCCGUACCGGAAGGUGCGGCUGGAUCACCUCCUAA
rnacentral:rRNA from 1 species